rnacentral:rRNA from 1 species
UACAGAGGUCUCAAGCGUUGUUCGGAUUCAUUGGGCGUAAAGGGUGCGUAGGCGGCGCGUUAAGUCGGGUGUGAAAUCUCGGAGCUUAACUCCGAAACUGCAUUCGAUACUGCCGUGCUUGAGUACUGGAGAGGAGACUGGAAUUUACGGUGUAGCGGUGAAAUGCGUAGAUAUCGUAAGGAAGACCAGUGGCGAAGGCGGGUCUCUGGACAGUUCCUGACGCUGAGGCACGAAGGUCAGGGGAGCAAACGGG